rnacentral:rRNA from 1 species
AACGAACGCUGGCGGCAGGCCUAACACAUGCAAGUCGAACGUGAAGCCACCUUCGGGUGGUGGAAAGUGGCAGACGGGUGAGUAACGCGUGGGAACGUGCCUUUCGGUUCGGAAUAACCCAGGGAAACUUGGGCUAAUACCGGAUACGCCCUUCGGGGGAAAGAUUCAUCGCCGAAAGAUCGGCCCGCGUCGGAUUAGCUAGUUGGUAGGGUAAUGGCCUACCAAGGCGACGAUCCGUAGCUGGUCUGAGAGGAUGACCAGCCACACUGGGACUGAGACACGGCCCAGACUCCUACGGGAGGCAGCAGUGGGGAAUAUUGGACAAUGGGCGAAAGCCUGAUCCAGCCAUGCCGCGUGGGUGAAGAAGGCCCUAGGGUCGUAAACCCCUUUCAGCGGGGAAGAUAAUGACGGUACCCGCAGAAGAAGCCCCGGCUAACUCCGUGCCAGCAGCCGCGGUAA